UGUUUGGCCAGUGUAGAAGUGUUGAUAAAUUAUGUGCAACCCCUGAUGUGCAUAAAUUACCUGUUUUGUUCAAUAAAAAGUCCACUUAGCAAUUAGAUUUUCUGGAAUCUUGUAAGCUUGAGGUGUAGACUAGCAGACCAACUGUUGUUCUUUACCAAAUAAUGAUUGUUUACACACUGACCAUAAUGAGAGAUUUAGUUUCCCUUAAGCCAUAGAAGCAACCAUCUUCCCAUUCCUCUACCUUUUAAAUGUAGUCCUUCCAAGGUUACACUACAUUGUAUGCCUCUUUUUAGGAAGCCUAAUUAAAUGCAAUCACCCAUUACCCAAUGUCCAUGUGUCUGAACGAUGCCCUCUUUGCUUUAGUAGAAGAAUGGAGGGGAGCAGUUAGACUACUGACUCUCCAGUCCCAUUUCCUUCUUCUGAUUCUGCCAUAGUAGCUCUUGAUUUAUCUUGUUUACAACUUUCAAACUUUGGAAGUCUCCUUAUUAUCAAAGGCCUUGCCACUUACGCACAGGAAGCAUGACUGCACAGCACUGGGGUCUGUGGUUAACCUGCACUAUUUGGAUAUCUCCAGGGAGGGAGGAAAGGACAGCGGUUUGAGCUCCGUGGAAAUCCUGCCUGGUGACCUAGAACCCAGGCAUUGGUUGAGACCCUUUGUGGUGUUAGCUCACGCCUCUCUAGCUUAAACUUAAAAAACAAAAACAGAAACAUUUUUUUUUGAGUUUUGCUACUAAGGCAUAUUGCUAUUUGCUCCUUUCUUAAUACAAUGUCUUAAGUGUAACCCUAUGCUUGAGCACCAAAUAAGCGUCUUUAUGAAGUCAUAGGCAAAUUCAGUAACAUCCCUCCCCAAAUCUUACUUUUACUUCCACUCUGUUGAAAGACAGUAAGGUUUCUAUGGGAAGUGAAGAAUGACUUCAGGAACUCCAAAUGAUCCUCCUUCCUGGGAUACCCUUCACUGAUCGAAAUUUCUCCCGGGCUUUAAGCCAAGAUCAACCAACAUCCAGCACAUCAGACGAGUCCUUUCUGCCUCUACCAGCCUUCAGGGAUAAACCACUUUUUGAAACAUUGACUCGGAGGUAUUUCUCUACAUUUCAGCCUUUAAUGGUGUUUUGAUGUUCUGUGCCUUAUCAGCAAUGUUAAGGGUAAGCACCAUGCCUUUUAUUUCUUUGUGUCCCAUGUUGCCUACCAUGGUUUCAGCACCGAGUCGUUGCUUAUGAAUUAGUGGCUGCAAACAUGAAUGUGAUCUCUGAAUCCUCAUUGAAUGAUCAUCUUAGCCAUGGUAGCACUAGCUGCUAUAACAGAUAUACUCCUGAAAUGCAGAGCCUGACAUAGUAACAGCUUAUUAUUCUUUUUACACUUCUAUGUGGGUGUCUCUGGUGGAGUGGCCCUUCUUUAGGUUGUGAAGCAGGGACCCAAGCUCCUUCUACCUUGUGGACCAUAAGGUCUUCAAUAUAUGGCUUUCAAGGUUGUCCGGGGAGUGGUCUCUAUUCCCGGCAGCUGGAAGGGGGAGAAAGGUGAAGGGCUAUGUGUGCAAGGUGUCUAUGGAAUUGACCUGAAAGGGGCAUCCAAGACUCCUACUCAUAUUUUAUUUAUUGGACCUUCAUCAUGUGGUAUUAUUAGCUGAAUUAUACCCCCCACUUCAAAUUCAUAUCCUGAAGUCUUAACCCCCUGUAUCUCGUGUAUAUGGAGAUACUUUUCUUUAAAGAGGCAAUUCAGUUAAAAUGAGGUCAUUAGGGUGGGUUCUAAUCCAGUAUUACUGGUAUUCUUAUAAGGAGAGGAAAUUUACACAUGGACCCAUAUAGAGUGAAGACCACGUGAUGACACACAGAGAGAUAGCCAUCUGUAAGCCCAAAGACAGGCCUCAGAAGAAACCAACCCUGCGGACUUCUUGGUCUUGGACUUCUAGCCUCCAGAAUUGUGAGAAAAGACAAUUCUGUUAUUUAAGCCAUCUGAUAUAUAAACAUGCAUGCAUUAAAUGCAGUACUUAGUUAUGGCAACCCUAGUAAAUUAAUACACAUGACCACACCUGUUUGCAGGGCAUGUUGGAAAAUGUAGUCCUGUGGUUUAAGGAAGAAAAGGUAAUCGGUUUUGUUGAACACAGAGCAGUUUCUGCCACAAUACUAGAACUUGAUGGGAUGCUAGGGAGCAUCUGGUUCAAUUCUCUUUUCUUUUUUAAAAGUCAAGGUAAAGUCCAUCAAGUAAACUGAAUUGCUCAAGAAUCCUCUAGAUAUUUAAUGACUCCUUUCACUAACUACUUCAUUGUCAUCUAUUUAAUUAGAUCUAAAAAUGUGCUGAUCACUAUUUGCCACCGACAUUCCACAACAUCUACUAACACCUAAUAAAUGCCACCCUAGACCAGCA
ensembl:lncRNA